rfam:Sphaerobolus stellatus SS14 unplaced genomic scaffold SPHSTscaffold_63, whole genome shotgun sequence.
CUCUGGGUAGGUCAGUUGGAAGAGCGUCAGACUGUAAUGGUUACUUCAUGAGAACAUCCUCUCAUCUGAAUGUCACUGGUUCGAUCCCGGUCUUAGAGA